AGAGUUUGAUCAUGGCUCAGGACGAACGCUGGCGGCGUGCCUAACACAUGCAAGUCGAGCGGGGAGAAUCCUUCGGGGUUCUUCUAGCGGCGGACGGGUGAGUAACGCGUGAACAAUCUGGCUCUCAGAGGGGGAUAACACAUUGAAAGAUGUGCUAAUACCGCGUAAGACCACGGUGCCACAUGGCGCAGAGGUCAAAGGAGUAAUCCGCUGAGAGAUGAGUUCGCGUCUGAUUAGCUAGUUGGUGAGGUAACGGCCCACCAAGGCAACGAUCAGUAGCCGACCUGAGAGGGUGAUCGGCCACACUGGAACUGAGAAACGGUCCAGACUCCUACGGGAGGCAGCAGUGGGGAAUAUUGGGCAAUGGGGGAAACCCUGACCCAGCAACGCCGCGUGAGGGGAGAAGGCUUUCGGGUCGUAAACCUCUGUCCCAUGUGAAGAGAAGAAGACGGUAGCAUGGGAGGAAGCCCCGGCUAACUACGUGCCAGCAGCCGCGGUAAUACGUAGGGGGCGAGCGUUGUCCGGAAUGAUUGGGCGUAAAGGGCGCGUAGGCGGCCUAUUAAGUCUGGAGUGGAAGUCCCGCUUUCA
rnacentral:rRNA from 2 species